rnacentral:ncRNA from 2 species
GUCGGCAACGGCAAUGGAUUCCUGCCGGGCCUCGCGCCGAACCGCCAUUGAGGGCUGAUGAUUCCUACCUGCGG